rnacentral:rRNA from 1 species
AGUCAUAUGCUUGUCUCAAAGACUAAGCCAUGCAUGUCUAAGUUUAAGCGAAUUAAACAGUGAGACUGCGGACGGCUCAUUAUAUCAGUUAUAGUUUAUUUGAUGGUCGAUUACUACAAGGAUAACCGUAGGAAUUCUAGAGCUAAUACUUGCACUUCAAGGAAGUUUUCUUCCUGCAUUUAUUAGAUUUCCCACCAAUGCUCUUUGAGCUUCGGUGAUUCAUAGUAACUUAGCGGAUCCACAGCCUUAGGGCGCGACGCUUCAUUCAAAUUUCUGCCCUAUCAGUUUUCGAUGGUAGUGUAUUGGACUACCAUGACUUUGACGGGUAACGGAGAAUUAGGGUUCGAUUCCGGAGAGGGAGCCUGAGAAACGGCUACCACAUCUAAGGAAGGCAGCAGGCGCGCAAAUUACCCAAUCCCAACUCGGGGAGGUAGUGACAAGAAAUAACAACAACUAACCUAUCACAGGUGAGUUGAUUGGAAUGAGUACAAUCUAAACACCUUAACGACUAUCCAU